UUGCUCACCGAGAUCUGGCGCGACAGGAGGAGCGGCCCGCCCCUGUUGACCAGCGACCCGGCCGAGGGUAUGGACACCGGCGAUGACACCAGGUGGCCCAGGGAUACCGCGCUCGAUCGGUACGGCCACAAAACUGGAAGACCACGCAAGGACCCCUCCCUUCGAUUGCUCGACCCUCACUGCACGGCGAUGAAGAACUCAUGACGGCGCUGGAGUCACUCGGGGUCACCAGGUAAAGGGAUGGCGGCCUUGCCCCGCGAUCAUAUAGGGCCGGCUGGUUGGGUUAUUGGAGCGUGUGGCGCCAGGAGUUAUCGUGCAGGUGGUUGAGCUCAAGCCGUCUGGCCAUGGUGUGGCGGAGACUGACAAGUUGGCCCCAUGCUCCAGAAACGCGGACUCCGC
rnacentral:lncRNA from 7 species